CAGAGUGCAGCUUGGAACUGAAUCAAGGCCCAGAGCUUGCAAGUGCUACUGGGAAAAGAAGGAUUUCCAUACCAUUUUACCCCAGAAUCUGUCAGACUAC